rnacentral:misc_RNA from 1 species
GCAUUUUUAUAAGCAGCUAGUAAUCCGUCACGUGUGGUCAUCAUGAUUCGAUGCCCCUUUUUGUUUUCUGGGAAAACUUUCUUUACGUGAUCAAUGACAUUUGCUUCCCACACAUCAUCUAAAACAAUGAGACAUCUUCCUCCUUUACUCAUAAAACCACUUAUUACCUUAGCUAAUGUGUGAUCAUCCUCAUCAAGAUGCUCGUCUAUAUUCUUUUUGAAAUGUUUGAGAAUCUUAUGAUAAAGAUCCUUUAUUUUGCAUUCUGGACCGGCAUAAAUCCAAAUGGUGCUGAAAAAUUCAAAUGAAAGCGUAGUGUCAUUGUAGAUUUUUCUUGCCAGUGUUGUUUUUCCAAGUCCCGGCAUACCCACCACUGGGACAAUAGCCAGACUUUCCGCCGGUCCUUCAACAAGCCGCUUGAUCACUUUCUUAGCUUCCUCAUCAAAUCCAACCACUUCAUCAUCAUCCAAAGAAGGACCCUGGGUAACUUCAUGUCCUUUUUUAGGGAUGUCAAGAAUUGGUCUGGGCUGAAAAGAUUCUUUGUUAUCUUCUCGAAGUUUCUUCACUUUCUCAUGGAUGUCUUUAAUAUCAGCUGCAAGAGCCCUAACUACUGCCAAAUGACCCAUAUCGAAGAAUCUUCCAACUUUAUUUUUAUCUCGAUGAAGCUUAGCUUGAACCAGAAAUUUAUCAAUGACAUCUUCAGAUUUAUGUACCAUUUUUUGAAUAUCUUUCACCAAUAGAUCCCAUAAACUGCUCUCACUGUGAAAUUUAGCAGCAUCGUCAAGGAAU